UAGCUACUCUUAUCGAUACCAGAUUGUUGUUGUUGCAUAUGGCUACUCUGUUGAAAAGGCCAGGAAAAGAGGUGUAGCAGGCAGGUAACGAGGCGUAAAGAAAUUCCUAGAUCCUAGAAACGGCGCUGUUCCGUUCUGAAUGUGACUACGGCCGACCGGGUUGCAAAUGAGACCCUGCAGCUGCGAUGACUGAUCUCCUUCUACAAUUAUAUAUUCACGUUGGAUACGUACCUUGGGAUUCCGGUAGGACUAACGGUUUAUCAACAACGAUUAAGACUCAUCGUACGACUGCCCAUAGAUAUAUAUAUAUAUAUAUAUUCAACCAAUGGAAAUUGUUACGUGCAUUCAUGAGUAUUCAUAUGUUCUUGCGUAGACGUCCGUCGGGACGAUGCGAUUUGAUUCACUUGUAUUUUUUUUUCAUACGUGAGAAGUAACUAUAUUAGUUGGACAUCAAAAUAUCUUCACUUUUAAAAUUUCAAUUUAUUACUUUACUAUUACUUGAUAUGUUCUCAAAUUCUUUCUGUCUUUUUUUUUCAUUCUGCACCUCACUGUUUGUCUCUCCCAAUGAAAGAGGAGAUGGAUGAACCGGAAUGCGGCAUCGUCGUCCAAGGAGAACUACUCUGCGCUGCACCCUAGAUUCGCAUUCACAUCUGUAUGGACGUAUACGUAUAUUACUAUUUGCCAUACAAUUUUAAAGCACAGGUUUAUCUUUAGACGGGACUAUUGGCAGCUCUUCCGCGAGAAAAGGUCGCCGAUUCUGUAUUAAUAAUAAUUAGUAAUGAUUUAUCUUGUAGAGAUGAUAACUCCUAAUGGACUCUGAGGAACUGAGUGAACGUAAUUAUGAGGAUUUACUCUAGUCGAGUAAAGGGAGGAUAUCGGAUGAUAUUAUAAGGACCAUUCGAAGGAGCUGCCUAACAGGGAGGAGCCAUCUGUGUCACGGCCAGUAUCUUAAUGAGUGACCGAGCUACUGUAAUUCAGUGUGAAUGCCAUACGAAAAUACGAAGAAAGCAACCGGGGCGACGGGUGAAAGUCAUCCAAAAUGUCACUGAGUUUAACCUUAACGUUGCGGAGUACGAGCGAGGAGCGCGAGUUAUGCGGCAACCUAUAACGGAGAAGGGUGGAGAAGGAGAAACCUCUUGCAUAAGCUACCCUCUAGGCUCUUCGUUAUCGUCAUACGUACGCCCGGUGGCUUAAUGUCGAAGUUAAAUUCAUAAGAAAGGCUGCGUCUAUGUGCACACAGUCAAUUUUGACAGGAUUCGGACACUGUUGUAACAGUUACUAAUAACAGAAGGGGAAAUACGUACAUUGUAGAUAUCUAAGCAUAUGUAUCAUAAUGUAACAGAAAUAUGAAAGGCAGGGGUGAAAAUUAGCGAGACAGCAAGAAAACAUAUUGCAAGAGGUUCCAUGAAUGUUGGUCAACUUGCAAGCCAAUGGGUCACGUACGAGAAAUGCAGUUAUGCGUCCCACGCAACUUUAUAAGAACCCACGGAAGCCCAGCCCCUGAGGAACAAUGCGUUUUGAACGCGCCGCCGAUUGCUGGUUGCACAUAUAUGUAGUUGUUCGUGGAUAUAUGUCUAUCAGGCACGCGUACAGGUGGUAAAAAAUUAACAGAAACACCGUCACGCCCAAGUCACGGGCGUGACCCAUGCAUAAAGAUGCCCGGGUCACGUAACUUUCCUUUGAUAUAAGGCAUUAAGGCUCUUGUGUAGUACAUUUAAAAUUUUCAGACUUUUGCCAAUCUACAUUUUUGCUUAUGCAUUAAGCAAUUAGGAUUGAGACAUGUGAAUUUCUGUUUCCGGAGGCAGUGGCAUCGUCAAAAAGAAUAUCUACAUAUACUCGCAGCGGAUUCGCCGUAUUCGAAAGUUUUCUGGAAAGGUCGAGGACGAUCCUCUGUACGAGCGUAAAUAUAUAAAUUAAGUUUUUUUCCCCUUGUAUAGUUCGGGAAUGUAAUUUCGUCUUCCUGGAUUAUUGGGAAUGGCCAGCGCAGCUCGGGCGUGGUCGUCAAGAAAGCCGGGAAAGUGAUAUCAGAGUCUGGAACGAGUGUGUCCGUGUUCUCCUAGUCAACAUGCAAGAACCCAAUGGCGCACGACAACCUAGUGAGUGUCGUCACGGAAUAACUGGUUCGUGUGUGCGUCGUUUCUCCUUGCACUGUAACGUCAAUUCCUAGCCGAUUUCCUUGCUUUGCGAGAAAUUUGCACGUUGUUAUCCGAAGUAUGUACUGAGAUAUACCUAACUUAACAAUAAGGAAAAGGUAUAUAAUAUCAUUAUUCGGAGACUCUUAUUAAGUAUGGACAUAGCGUAGUUUCAGUCUAGAGACUCUCUCGCAAGGAGAGAUGUGACCACAGCUAUGUCCCAGUUACAUGUGACUACUGAUGCUCUUUCUACAUUUACUAUAGGCAGUGUAUAGCUUUUGGUACGAAGCAAUCGUAUUCACAAUUUGCGCACGCUUGAGGCUCCCUCCGUUUAACCAUUCGCGGCCAUUUUGAAUGUUAAAGGAGCAUCGGAGAAGCGCUAUGUGAGGGUACAUAGGUACCCUCGAUUUGGUGUCUGAUUUAAAUAUUCCGACGGCGUGUCGCCAUUUUCUAAGAAUCUUUGACUACAUUUCAUUGCCUUAUGAAUGGCGCGAACACCUUCUCGAAGGUGGAAACCUUUUUAGAGAGAUCUUCCGUUAUAGAAGUGUAUGCUGGAGGUUAGUUAAUGGUAGUGACAGCAGCGCACUCUGUUGGCAGAAGCGGAAGGUAUUUCCUUCGCAAAAUGCAA